UUGAAAUUCAAACCAAACCUGAAAAAGUUGUCAGUCGCGUCCCAGGCGCUUCGGAGACGUCUCCGCUUCAACGCGAGACGUCUCGGCUACAAGAUUUUACUUUUGACGUUGUUUGGGGUCGACUCGGCGCUUUACGGGGGCGACUCCGAUGAUGAAUGGUUUGAAUCCUUGUUUUUCUGUUUAUCUGAGAGAGUCGUCUCUGUACUUUACCGGGACGUCUCGGCUUGUCUGCGCUUUUUGCAUGGGGACGACUCCGCUGUUUCGGGGACGACUCCGCCGUUAUAACUCCGAAAAACAUAUCUUCUGGAUUUCUCUGAGAGAGUCGACUCCGCUCUUUCAGGG
rnacentral:lncRNA from 1 species